UGAGAAUUUCAUCUCCCUCAUCUUGUUGAGUAGAACCCAUCUAUCUUCGUUCCAAACCGUGUCGACUCGAUUGCAGAAAUCUCGAGUAAUCAGCAUCUCAUCUUGAUCACACCCAGAAUUCUCCCCUGCUGUUUCAAUGGCUUCAACCACCACCGCAAUGCUGUACAACAAAUUGUGAAUAUGGAAUUCGAUGCAGUCGGUGUUCUGGUCUCUCAAUGGCUGCUCCAAAACCUUCCACCUUGCGUGCUUCUCUUCGAAACGGAGAUUUUGUUUCAUCUCCUCCGCCACUGAAUCAUAAGCAAAGCCCAAAACAUCGAGCAACAAACAGCACUGCCUCUGGUUUAUACGAACGCUAUCUUUGAAUAGCAUGAGUGCCUUCACACUUCCCAAGGCCUCUCCAAGCUGCCGGAAUUGCUCCAUUUCGGAACCCAACAAUAUAUUGGCGAUUAUAACUUUCGAGGGGAAAUCAAUCGUCCGUGUGGAUCAAUCUCAGAUGAAGGGAGUGUGGGAAUGGAGCGAUCAACAUAAGGGAAAUGUCCCAGUGGAGCUCGAAAUCCCUUGUACAAAGUGAGAGGGAGGGGAAAGAUUGUUGGACCAGAAUAUGAUUUGUUGGAAGGGUGUGGAUGAAUGGAUGAGAGAAAAGGAACAGAAAUGGGUUAUAUUAUUGAGGGAGGGAAGAGAAGGAAGGUUAAGAUUGAUGUUGGAAAAUUGGUUUAAGAAUUGGUAAAGGUUGAAGAACGGUGGAGGAUGGCCUGUGCAUGGGGGGGAGUUCCUGCCGCGAAUAUCGAUGGCCGUACUUUGGAUUUUGGCCUCUUAUCUUAGCUCUCUUUUCUUUCUUCUCUUUUUUUCUUUCUUCCCUCUUUAAAUCAUUUUCCGUAACUUCCCAAAAAUCAUCAAAAUUACAUUCCUUCACCCACGCGCGCACACAUAUAUAUAUAUAAACAUUCAACCUUUCAA